UUCCCCAUGUUUCCUGAUCCUGCCCUGGGUCUGCAGUCGUAGUUCUGGAAACUUCUCUUGGGUCCAAGACUAGGAGGUUCCCCUAAGAUCACAUGGCCCUGCCUCCUCCCAGUCCCCUCAUAGGGCAUUUUCUUCCCACAGGUGGAAAAGGAGGGAGCUGCUCUCAGGCUGCGUGUAAGUGAUGGCGGCGGGCGUGUGGAGGAGCUCACCUACUCCAUAAUUCCUCUUGUCCCACAUCUCCUGCGGGCUCUGACCAGGUCUUUUUUUUUGUUCUACCCCAGGCAGCAACAGUGCCCAGGGCUCUGAUGAGUCUCUCAUCACUUGUAAAGCCUGAGACAGCUGCCUGUGUGGGACUGAGAUGCAGGAUUUCUUCACACCUCUCCUUUGUGACUUCAAGAGCCUCUGGCAUCUCUUUCUGCAAAGGCACCUGAAUGUGUCUGCGUUCCUGUUAGCAUAAUGUGAGGAGGUGGAGAGACAGCCCACCCCCGUGUCCACCGUGACCCCUGUCCCCACACUGACCUGUGUUCCCUCCCCGAUCAUCUUUCCUGUUCCAGAGAGGUGGGGCUGGAUGUCUCCAUCUCUGUCUCAAAUUCAUGGUGCACUGAGCUGCAACUUCUUACUUCCCUAAUGAAGUUAAGAACCUGAAUAUAAAUUUGUGUUCUCAAAUAUUUGCUAUGAAGCGUUGAUGGAUUAAUUAAAUAAGUCAAUUCCUAGAAGUUGAGAGAGCAAAUAAAGACCUGAGAACCUUCCAGAA
rnacentral:lncRNA from 1 species